GGAGAGGUGGCGGAGCUCGGUCGAACGCGCCUGAUUCGAAAUCAGGUGUACCUUUACGGGUACCGUGGGUUCAAAUCCCACCCUCUCCGCCA
rnacentral:tRNA from 1 species